AAAAUUUGUUAUUGUUUGUUUUUUAACAGUGUGGUGGUUGGAGAUGCUCCCUAGAAUUUCCGCUUUUCACUUAUUCCUUGAUUCAACCCAUCACCGCUAUGGCUGCCGUCACUCACUGAUUCACCGGAUAUUGGGGAAAAAGAGAAGAAGAAGGGGAAAAAAAGAAAAAGAGGGAAAAAGGAAUAUUACUUCAUUCCUAAAAUGGGUUUCAAUAAUGGCCGAUCAAUAUUUUGAGUGUUUAAAGUGGUUAAUGCAUAUUUUAUAUGUUUAAAAUGGAGACCUCUAUUGUGUUUAUUUGUUCUGGCUCUGAGUUCAAGUCCUGGAUAUCGUUAUCAAUUUGUUGUCUCGUUGAAUCUAAAUCUCAUUAUGUGUCUUAUGUAUCUGGGUGUUAAGAUCUCUUAUUGUUGCAUUAAUCCUUUUACCCUUGCAUCCUUGUAGCUUUGAAAUCUAUUUUAUAAGUGUGAGAAUUGCAACUCCUGCUUUUUAUUUAUUUAUUUUUGCUCUCCAUUUGGUUAGUGAGUUUUUUUCCAUCCCCUUGUUUUGAGUCUUUGUAUAUCUUUAGAUAUAUCGUUAGAUUUUAUGGAUAAUGUAUAUUUUGUGUGUUUAAAAAUGGAGAGCUCUAUUGAGUUUAUUUGUUCUGGAUCUUAGUUCCAGUCCUGGAUAUCGUUAUCAAUUUUCUGUCUCGUUGAAUCUAAAUCUCAUUAUGGGUCUUAUGUAUCUGGGUGUUAAGAUCUCUUAUUAUUACAUUAAUCCUUUUACCCUUGUAUCCUUGUAGCUUUGAAAUCUAUUUUGUCAAAUGUGAAAAUUGCAACUCCUGCUUUUUAUUUAUUUAGUUUUGCUCUCCAUUUGGUUGGUUUUUUUUUUCCAACCCUUUAUUUUGAGUCUAUGUAUAUCUUUGGAUAUACCGUUAGAUUUUGUCUGUAUCUUUUGAUUGGGAGAUUUGGUCGAUUUAAAUUUAGGGUUGCUGCCAUUUGAUAUUAACUGGCUAUUUUGUCCUUUUGUUGAUAAAAAUUCUUCUUUAUGUUAAUGCUCUUUACUUUUUGGUGUAUUUUUAGAAAGGGUCAUACUGGUUGUUCCUUUCUGUGUAUAGUGCUUCUUUUAGAAGUUCUUGUAAAGCAGGCCUGGUGGUAAUAAAAUCUCUGAGUACU